UACGGAGGGUGCGAGCGUUAAUCGGAAUCACUGGGCGUAAAGGGCGCGUAGGUGGCUAGGCAAGUCGGGUGUGAAAGCCCCGGGCUCAACCUGGGAAUUGCAUUCGAUACUGCUUGGCUAGAGUACGGUAGAGGGAAGCGGAAUUCCGCAUGUAGCGGUGAAAUGCGUAGAUAUGCGGAGGAACACCAGUGGCGAAGGCGGCUUCCUGGACCGUAACUGACACUGAGGCGCGAAAGCGUGGGGAGCAAACAGG
rnacentral:rRNA from 1 species